UACGUAGGGUGCGAGCGUUGUCCGGAAUUAUUGGGCGUAAAGAGCUUGUAGGCGGUUUGUCGCGUCUGCUGUGAAAAUCCGGGGCUCAACCCCGGACUUGCAGUGGGUACGGGCAGACUAGAGUGUGGUAGGGGAGACUGGAAUUCCUGGUGUAGCGGUGGAAUGCGCAGAUAUCAGGAGGAACACCGGUGGCGAAGGCGGGUCUCUGGAACGGUACUGACGCUGAGACGCGAAAGCGUGGGGAGCGAACAGG
rnacentral:rRNA from 1 species